rnacentral:rRNA from 1 species
UACAGAGGGUGCGAGCGUUAAUCGGAAUUACUGGGCGUAAAGCGCACGUAGGUGGUUACGUAAGUCGGGUGUGAAAUCCCCGGGCUCAACCUGGGAACUGCAUUCGAGACUGCAUAGCUAGAGUACGGGAGAGGAAGGCGGAAUUCCCGGUGUAGCGGUGAAAUGCGUAGAUAUCGGGAGGAACAUCAGUGGCGAAGGCGGCCUUCUGGCCCAGUACUGACACUCAAGUGCGAAAGCGUGGGGAGCAAACAGG